rnacentral:RNase_P_RNA from 1 species
GGAGCGGAUCGGAUGGUCGCGGGAUCUUUAAAGGAUCCCGAGGAAAGUCCGGACUCCGUGGACGGGAUGCCGGGUAACACCCGGGAGGAGUGAUCCUCGGAUAGGGCCAUAGAAACGGAAACCGCCCUUUUUCGAGGGCAAGGGUGGAAAGGUGAGGUAAGAGCUCACCAGCAUUGGGGUAACCCAAUGGCUUGGUAACCCCCAUCUGGAGCAAGGCCAAACAGAAGGGGCAAUCAGGGUGUUCCACCGAGUGUUCCCCUUCGGGUGGGCCGCAUGAGGGAUGCGGUAACGUAUCCCCAAGAUGGAUGACCAUCGAUGACAGAAUCCGGCUUAUAGAUCCGCUCCCUUU